CACGUAGGGGGCAAGCGUUGUCCGGAUUCAUUGGGCGUAAAGAGCUCGUAGGCGGCUCAGUAAGUCGGGUGUGAAACCCUCAGGCUCAACCUGGGGACGCCACUCGAUACUGCUGUGGCUAGAGUCCAGUAGGGGAGUGUGGAAUUCCCGGUGUAGCGGUGAAAUGCGCAGAUAUCGGGAGGAACACCAGCGGCGAAGGCGGCACUCUGGGCUGGUACUGACGCUGAGGUAGACGAAAGCUAGGGGAGCAAACGGG
rnacentral:rRNA from 1 species